rnacentral:rRNA from 1 species
GAUGAACGCUGGCGGCGUGCCUAAUACAUGCAAGUCGAGCGAACGGACGAGAAGCUUGCUUCUCUGAUGUUAGCGGCGGACGGGUGAGUAACACGUGGAUAACCUACCUAUAAGACUGGGAUAACUUCGGGAAACCGGAGCUAAUACCGGAUGAUAUUUUGAACCGCAUGGUUCAAAAGUGAAAGACGGUCUUGCUGUCACUUAUAGAUGGAUCCGCGCUGCAUUAGCUAGUUGGUAAGGUAACGGCUUAUCAAGGCAACGAUGCAUAGCCGACCUGAGAGGGUGAUCGGCCACACUGGAACUGAGACACGGUCCAGACUCCUACGGGAGGCAGCAGUAGGGAAUCUUCCGCAAUGGGCGAAAGCCUGACGGAGCAACGCCGCGUGAGUGAUGAAGGUCUUCGGAUCGUAAAACUCUGUUAUUAGGGAAGAACAUAUGUGUAAGUAACUGUGCACAUCUUGACGGUACCUAAUCAGAAAGCCACGGCUAACUACGUG